UACGGAGGGUGCAAGCGUUGCUCGGAAUUAUUGGGCGUAAAGGGUGCGUAGGCGGUCGGGUAAGUCUGACGUGAAAUCUUCAAGCUCAACUUGGAAACUGCGUCGGAUACUAUUCGGCUGGAGGAAUGGAGGGGAGACUGGAAUACUUGGUGUAGCAGUGAGAUGCGUAGAUAUCAAGUGGAACACCAGUGGCGAAGGCGAGUCUCUGGACAUUUCCUGACGCUGAGGCACGAAAGCCAGGGGAGCAAACGGG
rnacentral:rRNA from 1 species